GAUCAAGACAUGAGCCGAGAUCAAGAGUCGGACGCUGAACUGACUGAGCCACCCAGGCGCCCCAUCGCAUAUGCAUGUUAUUUCUAAUUCGUUACUCCAACGACUCUUGGGACUCACUCUUGCGUAUCUCUUGACCCUGUUCCUCCUCUGCAUCCCUGGAUUCAAGCCCAAGUCCUCGAGUUAUUGCAGUCAACUCCUAACCCAGUCCUCAGAGGGAGACUAAGCCAGGGUGUGAGGCACACCAGGCUGAUCACUGCCUGCUUAAAAUUCAUCAGUGCGUUCCUGCUGCUACAGGAAAAAUCCAAACUCCCCAUGUAAUAUACAAAGCCGCUCAUUAGCUGACUCCCUGCCCAGCCUCGUCCUCCACCCUUCCCCCUGCCUCAUAGUUUCUUCUGAGCUAUCCCACACUCUGCUGACGCCUCUAAAAAGUCACUGCCCCUCCGUGCCUCCGCCAAUCAUCCUCGCGACUCGACACAAACCUGCAGACCCUUUCUGAACACCGCCCUGGCCAGAGAGUCAGAUGCCGCCUCUUGGUGGAAAUCUCAACCAGAGCACGGCUCCUAUCAUAUCAUAUAUGCCCUUGACGGCUCAGUCACACUUCCUGGGAACAGGAAGACCUCUCUGUGUCUUACACACGCCCUGGCACAUAGGAAGCGCUUCGUACAUGUUGCACACGUGAACGAAUAGCUGAGUGAGCCAAGCCACUGAACGCACGAAUAAGUGAACGAGUGCAUUAUGAGCUGCGCUGGCCAAAUAUAUUACCACGUACGUUCUAGUGCUGACACAGACAUCUCCUGGAGACGUGUCAGAAACUGUGCUUCUCAGACAUGAUGUCCGAAGGUUCUGUGAGUCUUGAUAUCUUGAACGAACUCACAGAGUUCAACCGUGUCAGCUGCUUCUUGGCAGAAGAGAACGGAAUAAAUCGUUCCUCUAUCUAACGGCAAGAGUGCCCCCGGGAUCCGACACUGAAUCCUGAGUUGGAAGGAAGGAAAAUUCAGCUGCUUCUCCACACCACCAUCCAGCGCGGGACUUCCAGACAGAUGGCCACCCAGUUUCUGCUAUAGUCCUCUAGAAACAAAGAACUCACCACCUUGCAGGGCAGGGCAUUCCUGGUUUAUCUGUCAUGCAAAUAAGUACGCUUUCUUGUUAUUUUCAGAUAUUUCAA